GCUCAUCUCAUCCUCUUUCUACCGAUUAUGGAUGUCUUCCCUUUCACCUCCUUCAUAUUUUUUUUUCUCCGGCAAACACUUGUAGUCCCUUUUGAUUUCUUCCCAUCUCUAGAUUUCUUUGAUUCUUUCCUCUGUUUUUCAUUAAUUUUUUUUUUUUUAAUUUCUAUAGCUCUCAAUAUCCUUUUCAUUAACCACACACUCCUCUCAUCUACUUGUCCUUUCUCUUCUUAUUGGCCAGUGCUCUUCUUUGUGAUUAUGGGAGUUCAUAUGGCCCUAGUAUUAGCAACAAUUCUCCUUUCACAUAAGCAAGUCACAGGGAGUAGAGAGGUCAACAAUUCUUCUCUGUGAAUUUUAGGAGUUCCUUUCUGUUACUAGCCUAGACAAAAGAAUAUUUUAUGUUGAAAUAUGCGCUACUUAAUGGGUUUAUUAAUUUGUUAGGUUUAUAAUGGAUGAUAUUGUACUUUGGCAUUUAGCUAAAUAUAUUAGAUUUGUUCUUUUUUUUUUUAGGCCUUUACUGUAAUAUAUCAAAUUGUUAAUUUUUUUUUAUGU
rnacentral:misc_RNA from 1 species